GAUGAACGCUAGCGGCAGGCCUAACACAUGUAAGUCGAGGGGUAGUUACUUUCGGGUAAUGAGACCGGCGCACGGGUGCGUAACGCGUAUGCAAUCUACCUUUUACAGGGGAAUAGCCCAGAGAAAUUUGGAUUAAUGCCCCAUAGUAUGUAUGAAUCGCAUGGUUUAUACAUUAAAGUUCCAACGGUAAAAGAUGAGCAUGCGUCCCAUUAGUUAGUUGGUAAGGUAACGGCUUACCAAGACGAUGAUGGGUAGGGGUCCUGAGAGGGAGAUCCCCCACACUGGUACUGAGACACGGACCAGACUCCUACGGGAGGCAGCAGUGAGGAAUAUUGGACAAUGGGCGCAAGCCUGAUCCAGCCAUGCCGCGUGCAGGAAGAAGCAUCUAUGGUGUGUAAACUGCUUUUGUACGGGAAGAAACACUCCUUCGUGAAGGAGCUUGACGGUACAGUAAGAAUAAGGAUCGGCUAACUCCUUGACAGCCGCCGCCGUAAAAC
rnacentral:rRNA from 1 species